rnacentral:rRNA from 1 species
CAAGGAAUUUUCCCCAAUGGGCGCAAGCCUGAGGGAGCAACGCCGCGUGGAGGACGACGGCCUUCGGGUUGUAAACUCCUUUUGGGUGGGACGAUGGUGACGGUACCACCCGAAUCAGCCCCGGCUAACUCCGUGCCAGCAGCCGCGGUAAGACGGAGGGGGCAAGCGUUGUCCGGACUUACUGGGCGUAAAGCGUCCGUAGGCGGUCCUGUGCGUCGGUGCUGAAAGCGCCCGGCUCAACCGGGCGAGGUGCGCCGAUACGAUGGGACUAGAGGUCGGCAGAGGGGGGCGGAAUGCCGGGUGUAGUGGUGAAAUGCGUAGAGAUCCGGCGGAACGCCAGUGGCGCAAGCGGCCCCCUGGGCCGAUGCUGACGCUGAGGGACGAAAGCGUGGGGAGCGAACCGGAUUAGAUACCCGUGUAGUCC